AUUUAUCUAUCUAGUAUAAUGUCUAUUUACUUUUUUAUUAUUGUGUCUAUGUUGUUCAUAAUUUGACACUAAUGGGAAAUACAUAAAUUGUAUCCACGGCUGUCAAAACAAGCCUGCUGUCACCGCUGUCAACUAAUUUCCACCAUUUGAUUAAUCCAACGUUCCAUAUUAUUUCCCCAAAACAAAACAAAACAAAACAAGAGAAAUGAAAUCUCUGACUGCUAAAUCAAAAUCGCUCUAACAGCUAAGUCAAAAUCACGGGGGCGCCAUAUUCAUCCCGGUGUCGCGUUCAACUGAAAUUGAAAGAAACAACCUCCCAAAAUAUCCAUAUUCUAUAAUCAAUUUUGCACCAGCCCAGAAUACUAUCUGUAAUUUGUUCAUAGCAAUCCAUCUGAUGUGUAUGAAAAAAAUGAAGGAUUCUUCCAUAACUGAUGUUGAAAAUACGGUGAUGCCUAGUAUGUGUGUUGUAUGUGGAAGCUGUAAGUUGUGGUUAUGGCCCUCCACAAACUCAUGAAUUACAGAGUUUCCAAUCUUUACACCAAGUGCAAAUCUUGCUUUACAAUCAGUUUUUGUCUGAUCAAUUUUUCAAUUCAAAGAAUCACUACACAUCGAUCAUUAAGGAAGCGGGAGACAUUUCAUGGUUUAAGAGUUUAUGUUGUAGACUUGUGGAACUACCUAAAUUCUAGUGUAGUUAGAUGCAAGGAUCUUUAAGACGGCAGAAGGCGUUCUGAGAGUUGAAGAGGUGCAAAGGUGGAAGCUUGAGGAGCUACAUGGUGUAGUUGGAUGGAAGGAAAAUGAAAAAGGGUAAGGUGGUUAAUUGUUAAAUUGGCAUCACCAUCAUUUUAGAGUCAAGGUGGAGAAAUGUUGUAAUUUGACUCAAAAAUUAAGUUUUAGAAACCAAAGAAUCGUGACACGAUUUUUUGGGCAUAAUGCAAGGUUACUACUUGAAGCAAAUCGUGAUACGAUUUUAGCAAGCAUGACCCAAUUUUGGAUUAAGGUUGUAGUAUUGUAUUGCGUACGAAACUUAUCGUGACACGAUUCUGACAAUCGUGACACAAUUUUGACAGUAUUUGAGAAUUAUUUAAGCAUUCACUGUUCUUUUUUUUGAACAAUGCUUAAAGAGAUGGAGACUUGGGAAAUCAAAGGAGAUAACUUUGGGUUGAGGGUCUUUAGUGAGGGUUCUCUUGAGAGAUUAUCUUGUGUUGGGAAACAUUUGGAAACACCUUGGGUGAGUAAAAAUCAUUGAGUGUUUUGUUCAUUAGAGAGAUUGGGAAAAUGGUAGGAAUUAGAGUUUGUUCUUUGUGUGCUUGUUAGAACUAAUUUCUUGCAAUCCUUUUAUAUCUCUUUGUAACAACCUCAUUGAUAAUGGAUUAGAGAGACCUAUCUCUCACCCAGUGUAGGUCCAUUUUGACCGAACUGUGUAAACACUUCUUGGUGUGUUUGUUUCUCUUUUCUCUUUAUCUUUUGUUUGUGG
rnacentral:lncRNA from 1 species